rnacentral:rRNA from 1 species
AAGUGCAGCCGCGCCGCCCUGCACACGCCCGGUCCCGCAUGAUCUCAGAAGCUCAGCAGGGUCGGGCCUGGUUAGUACUUGGGUGGGAGACCACCUAGGAAGACCAGGUGCUGUAGGCG